GAUGAACGCUGGCGGCGUGCCUAAUACAUGCAAGUCGAGCGAACGGACGAGAAGCUUGCUUUUCUGAUGUUAGCGGCGGACGGGUGAGUAACACGUGGAUAACCUACCUAUAAGACUGGGAUAACUUCGGGAAACCGGAGCUAAUACCGGAUAAUAUUUUGAACCGCAUGGUUCAAAAGUGGAAGACGGUCUUGCUGUCACUUAUAGAUGGAUCCGCGCUGCAUUAGCUAGUUGGUAAGGUAACGGCUUACCAAGGCAACGAUGCAUAGCCGACCUGAGAGGGUGAUCGGCCACACUGGAACUGAGACACGGUCCAGACUCCUACGGGAGGCAGCAGUAGGGAAUCUUCCGCAAUGGGCGAAAGCCUGACGGAGCAACGCCGCGUGAGUGAUGAAGGUCUUCGGAUCGUAAAACUCUGUUAUUAGGGAAGAACAUAUGUGUAAGUAACUGCGCACAUCUUGACGGUACCUAAUCAGAAAGCCACGGCUAACUACGUG
rnacentral:rRNA from 1 species